GAUGAACGCUGGCGGCAGGCUUAACACAUGCAAGUCGAGCGCCCCGCAAGGGGGGCGGCAGACGGGUGAGUAACGCGUGGGAACGUGCCCUUUGCUACGGAAUAGCUCCGGGAAACUGGGAUUAAUACCGGAUGAGCCCUACGGGGGAACGAUUUAUCGGCAAAGGAUCGGCCCGCGUUGGAUUAGCUAAUUGGUGGGGUAAAGGUCUACCAAGGCGACGAUCAAUAGCUGGUCUGAGAGGAUGAGCAGCCACAUUGGGACUGAGACACGGCCCAAACUCUUACGGGAGGCAGCAGUGGGGAAUAUUGGACAAUGGGCGCAAGCCUGAUCCAGCCAUGCCGCGUGAGUGAUGAAUGCCUUAGGGUUGUAAAGCUCUUUCACCGGAGAAGAUAAUGACGGUAUCCGGAGAAGAAGCCCCGGCUAACUUCGUGCCAGCAGCCGCCGUAA
rnacentral:rRNA from 1 species